rnacentral:tRNA from 1 species
CAAAGUGAAGCUUAUACAGAAUAGCAUUUCAGUUACGUUGAAAAGGAUUAUCGUGCAAAUCGAUUCACUUUGA